rnacentral:rRNA from 1 species
AACGAACGCUGGCGGCAGGCCUAACACAUGCAAGUCGAGCGAAGCCUUCGGGCUUAGCGGCGGACGGGUGAGUAACGCGUGGGAACGUGCCCUUUGGUACGGAAUAGCCCCGGGAAACUGGGAGUAAUACCGUAUGUGGUCGAGAGACGGAAGAUUUAUCGCCAAAGGAUCGGCCCGCGUUGGAUUAGGUAGUUGGUGGGGUAAUGGCCUACCAAGCCGACGAUCCAUAGCUGGUUUGAGAGGAUGAUCAGCCACACUGGGACUGAGACACGGCCCAGACUCCUACGGGAGGCAGCAGUGGGGAAUCUUAGACAAUGGGGGAAACCCUGAUCUAGCCAUGCCGCGUGAUCGAUGAAGGCCUUAGGGUUGUAAAGAUCUUUCAGUGGGGAAGAUAAUGACUGUACCCACAGAAGGAGCCCCGGCUAACUCCGUGCCAGCCGCCGCCGUAAAAC